rnacentral:rRNA from 1 species
UACGAAGGUCCCGAGCGUUGUUCGGAAUCACUGGGCGUAAAGGGAGCGUAGGCGGUUUGGUAAGUCAGAUGUGAAAUCCCGGGGCUCAACCCCGGAACUGCAUCCGAUACUGCCAGACUUGAGCAAUGGAGAGGUAGCUGGAAUUAUCGGUGUAGCAGUGAAAUGCGUAGAUAUCGAUAGGAACACUCGUGGCGAAAGCGAGCUACUGGACAUUUGCUGACGCUGAGGCUCGAAGGCUAGGGGAGCGAAAGGG